rnacentral:rRNA from 1 species
GAUCCUGGCUCAGAUUGAACGCUGGCGGCAGGCCUAACACAUGCAAGUCGAGCGGUAACAGAAAGUAGCUUGCUACUUUGCUGACGAGCGGCGGACGGGUGAGUAAUGCUUGGGAACAUGCCUUGAGGUGGGGGACAACAGUUGGAAACGACUGCUAAUACCGCAUAAUGUCUACGGACCAAAGGGGGCUUCGGCUCUCGCCUUUAGAUUGGCCCAAGUGGGAUUAGCUAGUUGGUGAGGUAAUGGCUCACCAAGGCAACGAUCCCUAGCUGGUUUGAGAGGAUGAUCAGCCACACUGGAACUGAGACACGGUCCAGACUCCUACGGGAGGCAGCAGUGGGGAAUAUUGCACAAUGGGCGAAAGCCUGAUGCAGCCAUGCCGCGUGUGUGAAGAAGGCCUUCGGGUUGUAAAGCACUUUCAGUCAGGAGGAAAGGUGUGUGAGUUAAUACCUCACAUCUGUGACGUUACUGAACAGAAGAAGCACCGGCUAA